UACGUAGGGACCAAGCGUUGUUCGGAUUUACUGGGCGUAAAGGGCGCGUAGGCGGCAAUUCAAGUCAGCUGUGAAAUCUCCGAGCUUAACUCGGAACGGUCAGCUGAUACUGUUUUGCUAGAGUACAGAAAGGGCAAUCGGAAUUCUUGGUGUAGCGGUGAAAUGCGUAGAUAUCGGGAGGAACACCAGUGGCGAAGGCGGGUCGUCUGGACAGUUCCUAACGCUGAGGCACGAAGGUCAGGGGAGCAAACGGG
rnacentral:rRNA from 1 species